CACACACAGCUAGCUCUUCAGGCCAGGCCCCCAGGGUUUCGUCCACCUCUCACCUUUGACGACGCGAAUGAAGAAUGAGGAGGUGCUGCGAUCGAACGACUGCGAGGAAACACACCCGCUCUCAUGGCAUUCCCAGUAAACUGAGAAGACGUGAUUAAACCUCAGGAUCUCCUACUAAUAGAGAAAUGUAUAACGAUUUAGCUACCAGAUCUGAAUACUGAAGGGUUGGUAGGGGACCAGAGAAUAGAGGAAGCAUUGUAGGUUCUAGAGUGGAGAAGGGACCAUCCAAAAUGGAGUUUGAAAGAGAAUUCUGGCCUUUGUGUUUAGAGUCUGGAAUUGUCAAGAGUCUGAAAGCACAGAAUAAGACUGCAGCUAGAGCAAUUUAGGCGCCAUAGUUUGUCAAAACAGAGACGGGAUCUCACUGUGUUGCCCAGGCUGGUCUCGAACUGCUGGACUCAAGUCAUCCUCCCAUCUUGGCCUCCCAAAGUGCUGGAAUUACAGUGGACAACCUUCAAUGCACUGGUACUUUGUACCCUGACCUCUACUGUGAUGAACACUCAACUUGGGCAAGGAAGUGAAAUUCUCCAAAGCAAGGAGGAGGGUGCUCUGAAUAGAUGGACCCUGAUUCUACUUACAAAACUGUGGGAAGAAACCGGAGCUUCCUCCCUCUCUGAGACAACGGUGCCACUGAGACUGCGUGAGAUGCGACGUAAAUUCUCUGCACUGUACUGCUCAUCCUCCCCACACUCCCUGCUGAGGCCUCGGCAAGGUGUAGCCUUCAAACACACAGACACAUACAGGCAGACACAUAAUACCAGACUUAUGGUUUUCCCACAGACAGUAUCCUCAGGGUAUGGGAAAGAGUAGGGGAAGACUCAGUAGUAAUAGACACCUGAAUUAGAUGUAUUGGUAAGAUAGUGGCCAUGUAACAAUCUCCUCUAAUUCAAAAGAAGCCCAAUCAUAGACCUUAUUUUCUUCUGAUAGCCCCAUAUCACCAUGCCUCUGCCUUAUCAUCAUCCCUGUCACAUCUCUCCAUAAUUCCUUCCCCAACACACCACCCCAGGCCCAGCACCUUAGCACCUGAGGCUGCUACCUGAGAAGUACGCACUGUUCUGGCUUCAUGGAGACCAUGCUCCAUUUCUGCUGUUGAAGUCUUUGAGAGACCAGGAUCAUGGGCUGAGUGCAACCUCCUCCCCAUGCCAUCUGCAGAGCCUGAAGAGGAAAACACAAAUACAAGUUGAGGCCAUCUCUUCCCCUAGGGCCUAACCUCUAAGCCUAGCAGCACAAACUCAGGAGCUGUUGUUUCAUUUAAUAAUAAAUAUGCAUCCUUGAAUUCAACGGAGGAACAUGCUCCUGGAAUUUAGAAGCAAGAGGGGCUGGGCGCGGUGGCUCACACCUGUAAUCCCAGCACUUUGGGAGGCCAACACGGGCAGAUCACGAGGUCAGGAGAUCGAGACCACCCUGGCUAACAUGGUAAAACCCUGUCUCUACUAAAAAUACAAAAAAUUAGCCGGGCGUGGUGGCAGGCACCUGUAAUCCCAGCUACUCGGGAGGCUGAGGCAGGAGAAUGGCGUGAACCCGGGAGGCGUAGCUUGCAGUGAGCGGAGAUCACGCCACUGCACUCCAGCCCGGGUGACAGAGCGAGACUCCGUCUCAAAAAAAAAAAGAAACAAGAAUUUUAGAAUAUAGAUAGUUUACUGAGUGUCCCCAUCUUGCUUCAUUUCAUUUUUGUAAACAUAAUCAGCUUCUGUCAGACUUAGGCUCAAGACUUAUAGACAGAGGAAAGUAUCUAACACAGUGAGUUUUGUUUUCUAACACAGUGAUUUUCUAAAGUAUCUGUGGUGACAAAGGAAAUUAUCUCCAGUCUAGUUCAGAAUAGAAAUGAUCAUAAUAAUCAUCUAUCAAACCUCCUCAUUUUAUAUAACAGGAAAAUGAGUUCCAGGGUCUGAGAGUUUAGUAGUUUAACCAGGAUUAAAAUUAAAUCCUCUUGAUUUUCAGUACAGUACUCUUACCAUCUCACCUGGUGACCUCUUUUACUCUGAGAGCAGGAGCUCCUCAGGAAUGUUUUACAUAUGUAAUGCUCUUUUCCCCUUAGCUUCUCUCAAAUCAUUUAAAUUUCUAAACAACCACUAAAUGCUUACCUCUUUUCAAAAUCUUUCUAGAUUGUUCAGUUGCUCUAAACUGGAUUGGUGACUCCCAAGGGGCUAUCCCCAAUCCAACUAAUUAAGUUUUCCAUUCCAAAACUGUAUAUGCCCCUGACCUACAUUUGAUACAUAUGUCCAUGGCCAAUUCAUGUCUUGAUUUGAUGAUUUGAUUCUAAUAUAUAUAUAUAUAUCUGGCUGAAGCUGAUAUUAUUCAUGUAAGUAUUGUAAGACCAGUUAUUUUCAGUAUUCCUGGGUACUUAAAUGCAGUGCUUUCAAUACCACCUCAGAUUCAUCUGGGAACUUUUAAAAAUAUAGCUUCCUGGAUGUUACCACAGAGCUGAAUCAGAAGGUUUGUGGUUGGUGCCUGGGAAUUUUCAUUUUUGAAAGGUUCCCAAAAAGUCUAAGAAAAUAUCCUUGAACAUUAUUGGGGGAAAUGGGAAAUGUUACAGUCUUCCUAAAAAACAACCUGGUAAUCUCCAAUAAAAUAAAAAAUAUAUUUAUCCUGUUGCCCAACGAUUCUAAUCCUGAGAAGAAGAAGAAAAAAAUACCAGUUCAUAACAACAUAUAUAUGAGAAUAUUUUCUACUGACAUAAUUUAUAGUAGCCAAGAACUAGAAAUAAAGUAAUGCCCACCUAUAGAAGAAUAAAUACAUUAUGGUUUAAUACCAGAUAUUGUCCAGCCACUUAAAAAGAUUGAACUGAGUUAAACUAGAUGAUUUGAAGAAAUUUUAAUGAAACAUUGUUGCAUUAAAAGGAAAAAAAUCUGUAAAAUGAUAGACAAGCAUUUGUUUAUGUAUAUGUAGGUCUACAUAGGAUUGUAUAAACAGAAAAUACAGUGUAUGCACACUAGAUAAUUACCUGGGGAAGUAGGGACUGGCUGUGAGAGAAGAGACAGGAAAAUUGUCUAUAAUAAAAACAGCAUGUGUGUUAUGUUCUUAUUUCUAUAAAAUUAAAAAA
rnacentral:lncRNA from 1 species